GACGAACGCUGGCGGCGUGCUUAACACAUGCAAGUCGAACGCUGAAGCUUGAUGCUUGCACUGGGUGGAUGAGUGGCGAACGGGUGAGUAAUACGUGAGUAACCUGCCCUUGACUCUGGGAUAAGCCUGGGAAACUGGGUCUAAUACUGGAUAUGACAUGCCACUGCAUGGUGGUGUGUGGAAAGGGUUUUACUGGUUUUGGAUGGGCUCACGGCCUAUCAGCUUGUUGGUGGGGUAAUGGCCUACCAAGGCGACGACGGGUAGCCGGCCUGAGAGGGUGACCGGCCACACUGGGACUGAGACACGGCCCAGACUCCUACGGGAGGCAGCAGUGGGGAAUAUUGCACAAUGGGCGGAAGCCUGAUGCAGCGACGCCGCGUGAGGGAUGACGGCCUUCGGGUUGUAAACCUCUUUCAGCACGGAAGAAGCGAGAGUGACGGUACGUGCAGAAGAAGCGCCGGCUAACUACGUG
rnacentral:rRNA from 1 species